AUAUGAGGAAGUUGCCAGACAAAUUGCUAGGUCGCUGACUGCCUAUGGGAUCUCGUAUAAGAUCGAUAUAACAGGUACAUCAAUAGGGAAAAGGUAUGCAAGAACAGAUGAACUUGGGGUCCCCUUUGCCAUUACAGUGGAUUCAACAUCCUCUGUGACAAUCCGUGAAAGGGACAGCAAGCAGCAGAUUCGCGUGAAUGUGGACGAAGUAGCAUCUGUUAUUAAGGAGGUAACCGAUGGUCCAAGCACUUGGGGUGAUGUGUUGUGGAAAUACCCUACUCAUUCUUCUUGACCCCCAUUGAGAAUGUUUACUUAAUAGCCUGAAUUGUUUAUCCGAGAUUGAUGCACCAAUUUGGAUGUACUAUUCUAAUUUGCAUUGAAGCAUCAGUAAAUACUUAUCCAAUUAGAUUACUUGUA